CCCUUAGAUGUUCUGGGCUGCACGCGCGCUACACUGAAGCGUUCAACGAGUAUUCACCUUGCCCGGGAGGGUUGGGUAAUCUUCUUAAAACGCUUCGUGAUGGGGAUAGAUUAUUGCAAUUAUUAAUCUUCAACGAGGAAUUCCUAGUAAGCGUGAUUCAUCAAAUCGCGUUGAUUACGUCCCUGCCCUUUGUACACACCGCCCGUCGCUCCUACCGAUUGAAUGUGUUGGUGAGGAGCUCGGAUUGGCAGCAGUUGGUGGUUCGCCACCGGCUAUUGCUGAGAAGUCCUCCAAACCGCCCCAUUUAGAGGAAGGAGAAGUCGUAACA
rnacentral:rRNA from 1 species